rnacentral:rRNA from 1 species
UACGUAGGGUGCAAGCGUUGCUCGGAAUGACUGGGCGUAAAGGGCGCGUAGGCGGAUGGCACAGUCAGAUGUGAAAUUCCCGGGCUUAACCUGGGGGCUGCAUUUGAUACGUGUGAUCUAGAGUGAGGAAGAGGGUCGUGGAAUUCCCAGUGUAGAGGUGAAAUUCGUAGAUAUUGGGAAGAACACCGGUGGCGAAGGCGGCGACCUGGUCCUUGACUGACGCUGAGGCGCGAAAGCGUGGGGAGCAAACAGG